CAAGUCGAACGCGAAAGGUCACCUUCGGGUGAACGAGUAGAGUGGCGAACUGGUGAGUAACAGGUGGGUAAUGUGCCUCUUAGUGUGGGAUAACCUCUGGAAACAGUGGCUAAUACCUCAUGUGGCACGGAUAACGUUGGUUAACCGUGUUAAAGACUUCGGUCGCUAAGAGAGCAGCCCGCCCCCGAUUAGCUUGUUGGUAGGGUAACGGCCUACCAAGGCUCCGAUCGGUAGGUGGCCUGAGAGGGUGGUCACUCACACUGGGACUGAGAUACGGCCCAGACUCCUACGGGGGGCAGCAGUCUAUAAGCUUCCACAAUGGACGAAAGUCUGAUGGAGCGACGCCGCGUGUGGGAUGACAGCCGUGAGGUUGUAAACCACUGUCAGCAGGGAAGAAUGCCUUGAUGGUGAAUCAGGGAGAGACGGUACCUGCAGAGGAAGCCCCGGCUAACUCCGUGCCAGCAGCCGCGGUAAUACGGAGGGGGCAAACGUUGUUCGGAUUUACUGGGCGUAAAGGGUGUCUAGGCGGUUCGAUUAGUCUGGUGUGAAAUAUCCUCGCUCAACGAGGAAGACGCAUUGGAAACUGUCGAGCUCGAGAGUGGAAGAGGCAGGUGGAAUUCCUGGUGUAGCGGUGGAAUGCGUAGAUAUCAGGAAGAACACUCGUGGCGAAGGCGGCCUGCUGGUCCAUUUCUGACGCUGAAGCACGAAAGCCAGGGGAGCGAACGGGAUUAGAUACCCCGGUAGUCCUGGCCGUAAACGUUGAACACUGGAUGUCGGGGGUAUCGACCCCCUCGGUGUCGGAGCUAACGCGUUAAGUGUUCCGCCUUGGGGAGUACGACCGCAAGGUUGAAACUCAAAGGAAUUGACGGGGGCCCGCACAAGCGGUGGAGGAAAAUGUGGGUUUAAUGUCGAACNGCAACGCNGAAGAACCUUACCUGGGCUUAAACCGCAGGGUAAACCCUCUGAAAGGAGGGCUGCUUCGGCAAUCCUGUAGAGGUGCUGCAUGGCUGUCGUCAGCUCGUGUCGUGAGAUGUUGGGUUAAGUCCCGCAACGAGCGCAACCCUUGCUCUUAGUUACCAGCGCGUAAUGGCGGGGACUCUAAGAGGACUGCCCUCGCAAGGGGGAGGAAGGUGGGGAUGACGUCAAGUCCUCAUGGCCCUUGUGUCCAGGGCUACACACGUCCUACAAUGGCCGGUACAAAGGGCUGCAAGCUCGCGAGAGUUAGCUAAUCCCAAAAAGCCGGUCCCAGUUCGGAUUGCAGUCUGCAACUCGACUGCAUGAAGGUGGAAUCGCUAGUAAUCGUGGAUCAGCAUGCCACGGUGAAUACGUUCCCGGGCAUUGUAUCACCGCCCGUCACAUCACGAAAGUCGGUGGUACCGGAAGUCGCUGAGCCAACCCGCAAGGGAGGCAGGCGCCGA
rnacentral:rRNA from 1 species